AUUGAACGCUGGCGGCAGGCCUAACACAUGCAAGUCGAGCGGAUGAAGGGAGCUUGCUCCUGGAUUCAGCGGCGGACGGGUGAGUAAUGCCUAGGAAUCUGCCUGGUAGUGGGGGAUAACGUCCGGAAACGGGCGCUAAUACCGCAUACGUCCUGAGGGAGAAAGUGGGGGAUCUUCGGACCUCACGCUAUCAGAUGGGCCUAGGUCGGAUUAGCUAGUUGGUGGGGUAAAGGCCUUCCAAGGCGACGAUCCGUAACUGGUCUGAGAGGAUGAUCAGUCACACUGGAACUGAGACACGGUCCAGACUCCUACGGGAGGCAGCAGUGGGGAAUAUUGGACAAUGGGCGAAAGCCUGAUCCAGCCAUGCCGCGUGUGUGAAGAAGGUCUUCGGAUUGUAAAGCACUUUAAGUUGGGAGGAAGGGCAGUAAGUUAAUACCUUGCUGUUUUGACGUUACCAACAGAAUAAGCACCGGCUAACUUCGUG
rnacentral:rRNA from 1 species